rnacentral:rRNA from 1 species
UACGUAGGGUGCGAGCGUUGUCCGGAAUUAUUGGGCGUAAAGAGCUUGUAGGCGGUUUGUCGCGUCUGCCGUGAAAAUUCGAGGCUCAACCUCGAACUUGCGGUGGGUACGGGGCAGACUAGAGUGUGGUAGGGGAGACUGGAAUUCCUGGUGUAGCGGUGAAAUGCGCAGAUAUCAGGAGGAACACCGAUGGCGAAGGCAGGUCUCUGGGCCACUACUGACGCUGAGAAGCGAAAGCAUGGGGAGCGAACAGG